rnacentral:rRNA from 1 species
UACGUAGGGGGCAAGCGUUACUCGGAAUCACUAGGCGUAAAGCGCAGGUAGGCGGUUUGAUAAGUCUGUUGUGAAAGCUCCCGGCUUAACUGGGAGAGGUCAACGGAAACUGUCAGGCUAGAGUGUGGUAGAGGUAGCUGGAAUUCCCGGUGUAGCGGUGAAAUGCGUAGAUAUCGGGAGGAAUACCUAUGGCGAAAGCAGGCUACUGGACCGUCACUGACGCUGAUCUGCGAAAGCUAGGGGAGCAAACAGG